UCACUUUAAACAUGUUUAUCC
rnacentral:piRNA from 1 species